ACCUGCCUUAUAGAGGGGGAUAACUAUUGGAAACGAUAGCUAAUACCGCAUAACAACUUAGUACUCAUGUACUAAGUUUAAAAGUAGCAAUUGCUACGCUGUGAGAUGGAUCCGCGUUGUAUUAGCUAGUUGGUAAGGUAACGGCUUACCAAGGCGAUGAUACAUAGCCGACCUGAGAGGGUGAUCGGCCACACUGGGACUGAGACACGGCCCAGACUCCUACGGGAGGCAGCAGUGGGGAAUAUUGGACAAUGGGGGCAACCCUGAUCCAGCAAUGCCGCGUGUGUGAAGAAGGUCUUCGGAUUGUAAAACACUUUCGUUGGGGACGAUGAUGACGGUACCCAAAGAAGAAGCCCCGGCUAACUUCGUGCCAGCAGCCGCGGUAAUACGAAGGGGGCGAGCGUUGCUCGGAAUAACUGGGCGUAAAGGGCGCGUANGCGGCCGAUAGCUGUCAGAUGUGAAAUUUUUGGGCUCAACCC
rnacentral:rRNA from 1 species